AGUGAACGCUGGCGGUAGGCCUAACACAUGCAAGUCGAACGGCAGCACAGUAAGAGCUUGCUCUUACGGGUGGCGAGUGGCGGACGGGUGAGGAAUACAUCGGAAUCUACUUUUUCGUGGGGGAUAACGUAGGGAAACUUACGCUAAUACCGCAUACGACCUACGGGUGAAAGCAGGGGAUCUUCUGACCUUGCGCGAUUGAAUGAGCCGAUGUCGGAUUAGCUAGUUGGCGGGGUAAAGGCCCACCAAGGCGACGAUCCGUAGCUGGUCUGAGAGGAUGAUCAGCGACACUGGAACUGAGACACGGUCCAGGCUCCUACGGGAGGCAGCAGUGGGGAAUAUUGGACAAUGGGCGCAAGCCUGAUCCAGCCAUACCGCGUGGGUGAAGAAGGCCUUCGGGUUGUAAAGCCCUUUUGUUGGGAAAGAAAAGCAGCAGGUUAAUACCCCGCUGUUCUGACGGUACCCAAAGAAUAAGCACCGGCUAACUUCGUG
rnacentral:rRNA from 1 species